rnacentral:rRNA from 1 species
GUAGGGAAUCUUCGGCAAUGGGGGCAACCCUGACCGAGCAACGCCGCGUGAGUGAAGAAGGUUUUCGGAUCGUAAAGCUCUGUUGUAAGAGAAGAACGAGUGUGAGAGUGGAAAGUUCACACUGUGACGGUAACUUACCAGAAAGGGACGGCUAACUACGUGCCAGCAGCCGCGGUAAUACGUAGGUCCCGAGCGUUAUCCGGAUUUAUUGGGCGUAAAGCGAGCGCAGGCGGUUAGAUAAGUCUGAAGUUAAAGGCUGUGGCUUAACCAUAGUACGCUUUGGAAACUGUUUAACUUGAGUGCAGAAGGGGAGAGUGGAAUUCCAUGUGUAGCGGUGAAAUGCGUAGAUAUAUGGAGGAACACCGGUGGCGAAAGCGGCUCUCUGGUCUGUAACUGACGCUGAGGCUCGAAAGCGUGGGGAGCAAACAGGAUUAGAUACCCUGGUAGUCCACGCCGUAAACGAUGAGUGCUAGGUGUUGGGUCCUUUCCGGGACUCAGUGCCGCAGCUAACGCAUUAAGCACUCCGCCUGGGGAGUACGAACUCGCAAGGUUG